GCAGCGCGGUGGCGAGCUCGGCGAAUUCAGUCGCGUCGCAGGCGAUGGUCUCGGCGGGGUUGAGACGGGCGAGUUCGGCGCCCAGCCGCGCCGCG
rnacentral:tRNA from 1 species